UGUAUCUCUGACCCUGUGCCUGUAAUUGUUUCACUGUAUCAGAUAGCUCUCUGCAGAACAAAUAUAUGGAAACAAUUUGCAAGAAAGGUUGAGACUAAAAGGUUACAUUUUUCUUGAGACUGCUUUUUGCAUAAUAAUUUCAUGUAGUGAUCUUAUUUGCCUAGCAGCUGAUAAGAUUUCUUGAUGGCAUCCAGCUGUAGCUAGGGUUGGUGUAAUUGGCUGCUUUUUUCUGAAGUCAUUUGUUCUGGGGAACUCUGGUAAGAGCUGUGGGCUGACUGCUCAAAGACUUUGCAACAGCUGGAGAGAGAAAACUGGGGAAUUGUUUGAUUGUUGAUCCCCUAAACAAUUUGCAUUGGGGACAAAUUUUGAAUACCAGGCUGUCAGCUGGGUGAAAAAAUAAGUAGCUUGUUCAGAGCUUUCAAGGAAAACAUGAUGCAGCAUGAUCACAUGUAUUCAUGUAAAUGUUCCAGGCUGCCUCAGCUGAGGAGAUGAGACCGCACUGAGCCAAGCAUAGCUUGCAUGAAGAACUUGUCAGAAGGUGGAUUGCUAAACAGUUUAGAUUUG